rnacentral:lncRNA from 1 species
AAAGAUAGAGCAGAAAUUCGAGGAAAAUAGAAAAUUACCAAAAUGUCCCUGAAUUUUGGUAUUUCUGCAAUUUAGCCUGGUAAGUUCGUGUAACUUGAAUUAUAUUCUUAGAUUAUUGAAAUAUAUAUAUUGGAUUGAGAAAUUGAUUUGAAUUGUGAACAUGAGAAAUUGUGAAUUGAAUGAAAUGGAAAUGAGCUUUGA